ACAGAUGCAGAUCAGUAUUUUGGCACCAUACUUUCUGACCUCUGUUCCCACUUGUCAACAGAUUUUCUGCCUCUGCAGCAGCAGGCUGUUCAAUUGCGCCCGCCCUCAUUCGUUAUACAAUUUUUUUCUUCUUCUCAUCUGGGGCAGUAGUGAGCAGUUUCAUCUUUUCAGCUUACUGAUCCUCCCUAGGUCAGUUAACAGUUUGGUGGUUUAACCCAGCCUGACUCUCUGCUGCAGCAUCUCCCUGUCUGCUCCUCUGCCCCUAUUCAAGUAUGGCAGAGAAGCUAAGAGAGCACCACGUGAAAAUCAAGUGAUGCUCGAUUUACAGAGCAG